UACAGAGGGUGCAAGCGUUAAUCGGAAUUACUGGGCGUAAAGCGUGCGUAGACGGUUACAUAAGUCGGGUGUGAAAGCCCCGGGCUCACCUGGGAAUUGCAUUCGAGACUGCGUAGCUAGGGUGCGGAAGAGGGAAGCGGAAUUUCCGGUGUAGCGGUGAAAUGCGUAGAUAUCGGGAAGGAACACCAGUGGCGAAAGCGGCUUCCUGGUCCAGCACCGACGUCAGGCACGAAAGCGUGGGGAGCAAACAGG
rnacentral:rRNA from 1 species